GGAAUAUUGGACAAUGGGCGAAAGCCUGAUCCAGCCAUGCCGCGUGUGUGAAGAAGGUCUUCGGAUUGUAAAGCACUUUAAGUUGGGAGGAAGGGCAGUUACCUAAUACGUAUCUGUUUUGACGUUACCGACAGAAUAAGCACCGGCUAACUCUGUGCCAGCAGCCGCGGUAAUACAGAGGGUGCAAGCGUUAAUCGGAAUUACUGGGCGUAAAGCGCGCGUAGGUGGUUUGUUAAGUUGGAUGUGAAAUCCCCGGGCUCAACCUGGGAACUGCAUUCAAAACUGACAAGCUAGAGUAUGGUAGAGGGUGGUGGAAUUUCCUGUGUAGCGGUGAAAUGCGUAGAUAUAGGAAGGAACACCAGUGGCGAAGGCGACCACCUGGACUGAUACUGACACUGAGGUGCGAAAGCGUGGGGAGCAAACAGGAUUAGAUACCCCAG
rnacentral:rRNA from 1 species